CUCGCUCCCCCUCGGAGCCGCAGAGCCAGCAAUUGUGCAAGAAGAGCCGGGUGUGCAGGGCGCGUAUCACCAAGCGCAUGGUACGAGCCGCCGACUCUGGUGAUUAAUUAUCAGUUGCCGCCGGCCUCACACUAACACGUCGGCUUUCCGGGCAGAGCCAGCACACCCAGCCGCCGGCAGCGCGGCCCGGACCGAGCAGCGGCUCUGGGGAGGACGCCGCGGCUGCGCCCGAGUUUAUACCUUCUCCAGAUGGCUCCUGGCAGCCUUGGCUGGGCAUUUCAACAUAUAGGAAACUCAGCCAGAAUAGCCUGAAGAUUUCAGGGGACAAGAUCAUGGUCCAAAUUGCAAUCCAGUGUACUCCCAGGCUUAAGUUAUCAACUGAACUUUGAUGGCCACCAAAAUCCCUACCUUCAGCUUAGACUGCUCUUCUACACUGCAAACGUACUCAACUGUCUACCUGUCAUUUCCAAGAGAAUGCCUAACAGGAACUUCAAAAGGAACUUCCACAAGGGCUGCCCUAGGACUCCUCAAAUUUGCUCCUUCUCCAGAAUUGAGCUUAUUAAAUAGCACCAUUGACCACUGAGUCCUUGGAAAAUAAUUUUUUUCCAUUUACAAAGUCCAAAGGGAUGGACUAUUUUAUCUUUUCCCAUUUUCUUAACAGCAUUUUCUUGGAGCUAUAGUGAAUCUCAGUCUUUACAUUAACCAUUAGAACAGAGGUAAAUCUCUAGGGAUUAAGUCCACUCUCCAGUUUUCAUUGCAGAGAUAUCUCCAAGGUCACAUGCCAGAUCACCUCAAUAUGUAAAAACAAACCACUAGAAUUAGCUCAAGU